UCUAGAUGUUGUAAUAAUAAGAGGGUGUCUCUACAGGAUGACUCAUGGGAGGGGCUGCCUAGAGGAGGUCAUCUCUGUACUGUAUGAGAUGAAAGGAAGAGGGGUGAGAGGAGAGCAAGUCAUGGGCAAGAGUCUGACAGAAGGAGUGGUGGCUGUCCCAGGAACGCUGUGGCAAGACAGUCCAGGAGACUAAGAAUCCAGCUGAGGGCCUGGAUCCCACGAUAAUGUCCUGCGUGAGUCCACCUGAAGACCUA
rnacentral:lncRNA from 1 species